CCUACGGGGGGCAGCAGUGAGGAAUAUUGGUCAAUGGGCGGGAGCCUGAACCAGCCAAGUAGCGUGAGGGACGACGGUCCUAUGGAUUGUAAACCUCUUUUGUCGGGGAACAAAGGCGCCCACGGGUGGGCGGAUGAGUGUACCCGAUGAAAAAGCAUCGGCUAACUCCGUGCCAGCAGCCGCGGUAAUACGGAGGAUGCGAGCGUUAUCCGGAUUUAUUGGGUUAAAAGGGUGCGUAGGCGGACCGUCAAGUCGGCGGGAAAAGUUCGGUGCCCAACGCCGUACUGCCGUUGAAACUGGCAGUCUUGAGUGGGCGAGAAGUAUGCGGAAUGCGUUGUGUAGCUGUGAAAUGCUUAGAUAUCACGCAGAACUCCGAUUGCGAAGGCAGCAUACCGGCGCCCGACUGACGCUGAGGCACGAAAGCGUGGGUAUCGAACAGGAUUAGAUACCCUUGUAGUC
rnacentral:rRNA from 1 species